rnacentral:rRNA from 1 species
CACGCCGUAAACGAUGAUAACUGGCUGUUGGCGAUAUACCGUCAGCGGCAAAGCGAAAGUGAUAAGUUAUCCACCUGGGGAGUACGCCGGCAACGGUGAAACUCAAAGGAAUUGACGGGGGCCCGCACAAGCGGAGGAACAUGUGGUUUAAUUCGAUGAUACGCGAGGAACCUUACCCAGGCUAGAACGCAAUUGGAAUAUAUGGGAAACUGUAUAGCUCUUCGGAGCCGGUUGCGAGGUGC